UACGUAGGGUGCGAGCGUUGUCCGGAAUUACUGGGCGUAAAGAGCUCGUAGGUGGUUUGUCGCAUUGUUCGUGAAAACUCACAACUCAAUUGUGGGCGUGCGGGCGAUACGGGCAGACUGGAGUACUGCAGGGGAGACUGGAAUUCCUGGUGUAGCGGUGGAAUGCGUAGAGAUCCGGAGGAACACCAGCGGCGAAGGCGGCGUCCUGGACUGGUACUGACGCUCAGGAGCGAAAGCGUGGGGAGCGAUCCGG
rnacentral:rRNA from 1 species